rnacentral:rRNA from 1 species
UGAGGAAUAUUGGUCAAUGGGCUUACGCCUGAACCAGCCAAGUCGCGUGAGGGAAGACUGCCCUAUGGGUUGUAAACCUCUUUUGUCAGGGAGCAAUUGGCGCUACGUGUAGCGUUAUCGAGAGUACCUGAAGAAAAAGCAUCGGCUAACUCCGUGCC